ensembl:lncRNA novel transcript
CACUGGGCGCUGUGCACGCCCUCACCACCAAGGUGCACUUCGAAUGCACGGGCUGGCAUGACGCGGAGGAUGCUGGCGCCCCGCUGGUGUACGCCCUGCUGCUGCAGCGCUGUCGCCAGGGCCACUGCGAGGAGUUCUGUGUCUACAAGGGCAGCCUCUCCGGCUACGGAGCCGUGCUGCCCCCGGGUUUCAGGCCACACUUCGAGGUGGGCCUGGCCGUGGUGGUGCAGGACCAGCUGGGAGCCGCUGUGGUCGCCCUCAACAGGUCUCUGGCCAUCACCCUCCCAGAGCCCAACGGCAGCGCAAUGGGGCUCACAGUCUGGCUGCACGGGCUCACCGCUAGUGUGCUCCCGGGGCUGCUGCGGCAGGCCGAUCCCCAGCACGUCAUCGAGUACUCGCUGGCCCUGGUCACCGUCCUGAACGAGUACGAGCGGGCCCUGGACGUGGCGGCAGAGCCCAAGCACGAGCGGCAGCGCCGAGCCCAGAUACGCAAGAACAUCACGGAGACUCUGGUGUCCCUGAGGGUCCACACUGUGGAUGACAUCCAGCAGAUCGCUGCUGCGCUGGCCCAGUGCAUGG